UGAGCCUGAAAGGGGAUAGACAGCUGCCUCUCAGCAAGUCCCAGCCCAGCAGGAUCAUCUCUGGGGAUGAGUAUUCUGGGUCUCUGUUCAGACUCACCCUUGAGCCACAGACACUGACGAAAGCUACUCACACGCAGGUGAUCAGCAUUGGGAACCGCUGACCUCAGGGUCAUUUCAGCCUCCCACCAUCAACUAAGAGGCAGAGGAGAAACUGCAGCCCUGAGCCUUUAAAGGGGACCAGGAACCAGAGCUGUGCCUCCCUGCUCCUGCAAUAAUGAUAGCCAAAUGCUGGAGAACUCUGUGACAGAGCAGAGAGCUUCUUUCUCAAAGAGCAAUUUCCGAACUCAAACACACACCCACACAGGGACUCGGGGUUUCCAGGAGCAGCCAA